rnacentral:rRNA from 1 species
CCUACGGGAGGCAGCAGCGGGGAAUAUUGCACAAUGGGCGCAAGCCUGAUGCAGCCAUGCCGCGUGUGUGAAGAAGGCCUUCGGGUUGUAAAGCACUUUCAGCGGGGAGGAAGGCGAUUAGGUUAAUAACCUCAUCGAUUGACGUUACCAGCAGAAGAAGCACCGGCUAACUCCGUGCCAGCAGCCGCGGUAAUACGGAGGGUGCAAGCGUUAAUCGGAAUUACUGGGCGUAAAGCGCACGCAGGCGGUCUGUCAAGUCGGAUGUGAAAUCCCCGGGCUCAACCUGGGAACUGCAUUCGAAACUGGCAGGCUAGAGUCUUGUAGAGGGGGGUAGAAUUCCAGGUGUAGCGGUGAAAUGCGUAGAGAUCUGGAGGAAUACCGGUGGCGAAGGCGGCCACCUGGACAAAGACUGACGCUCAGGUGCGAAAGCGUGGGGAGCAAACAGGAUUAGAUACCCCUGUAGUC